rnacentral:miRNA from 1 species
CCAAUGCCUCGGGAGGCUACAGAAGGACAAUGUCUGUGAGGGCCCAAGGGUGCAUGUGUCUCCCGGGUUUUGGUGC